rnacentral:rRNA from 1 species
AAAUUGAAGAGUUUGAUCAUGGCUCAGAUUGAACGCUGGCGGCAGGCCUAACACAUGCAAGUCGAGCGGUAGCACAGAAGAGCUUGCUCUUUGGGUGACGAGCGGCGGACGGGUGAGUAAUGUCUGGGAAACUGCCUGAUGGAGGGGGAUAACUACUGGAAACGGUAGCUAAUACCGCAUAACCUCGCAAGAGCAAAGAGGGGGACCUUCGGGCCUCUCGCCAUCAGAUGUGCCCAGAUGGGAUUAGCUAGUAGGUGAGGUAAUGGCUCACCUAGGCGACGAUCCCUAGCUGGUCUGAGAGGAUGACCAGCCACACUGGAACUGAGACACGGUCCAGACUCCUACGGGAGGCAGCAGUGGGGAAUAUUGCACAAUGGGCGCAAGCCUGAUGCAGCCAUGCCGCGUGUGUGAAGAAGGCCUUCGGGUUGUAAAGCACUUUCAGCGGGGAGGAAGGCGGUGAGGUUAAUAACCUCAUCGAUUGACGUUACCCGCAGAAGAAGCACCGGCUAACUCCGUGCCAGCAGCCGCGGUAAUACGGAGGGUGCAAGCGUUAAUCGGAAUGACUGGGCGUAAAGCGCACGCAGGCGGUCUGUUAAGUUGGAUGUGAAAUCCCCGGGCUUAACCUGGGAACUGCAUUCAAAACUGACAGGCUAGAGUCUUGUAGAGGGGGGUAGAAUUCCAGGUGUAGCGGUGAAAUGCGUAGAGAUCUGGAGGAAUACCGGUGGCGAAGGCGGCCCCCUGGACAAAGACUGACGCUCAGGUGCGAAAGCGUGGGGAGCAAACAGGAUUAGAUACCCUGGUAGUCCACGCUGUAAACGAUGUCGAUUUGGAGGUUGUGCCCUUGAGGCGUGGCUUCCGGAGCUAACGCGUUAAAUCGACCGCCUGGGGAGUACGGCCGCAAGGUUAAAACUCAAAUGAAUUGACGGGGGCCCGCACAAGCGGUGGAGCAUGUGGUUUAAUUCGAUGCAACGCGAAGAACCUUACCUACUCUUGACAUCCACAGAAUUUGCUAGAGAUAGCUUAGUGCCUUCGGGAACUGUGAGACAGGUGCUGCAUGGCUGUCGUCAGCUCGUGUUGUGAAAUGUUGGGUUAAGUCCCGCAACGAGCGCAACCCUUAUCCUUUGUUGCCAGCGAUUCGGUCGGGAACUCAAAGGAGACUGCCGGUGAUAAACCGGAGGAAGGUGGGGAUGACGUCAAGUCAUCAUGGCCCUUACGAGUAGGGCUACACACGUGCUACAAUGGCGUAUACAAAGAGAAGCGACCUCGCGAGAGCAAGCGGACCUCAUAAAGUACGUCGUAGUCCGGAUUGGAGUCUGCAACUCGACUCCAUGAAGUCGGAAUCGCUAGUAAUCGUAGAUCAGAAUGCUACGGUGAAUACGUUCCCGGGCCUUGUACACACCGCCCGUCACACCAUGGGAGUGGGUUGCAAAAGAAGUAGGUAGCUUAACCUUCGGGAGGGCGCUUACCACUUUGUGAUUCAUGACUGGGGUGAAGUCGUAACAAGGUAACCGUAGGGGAACCUGCGGUUGGAUCACCUCCUUACCAAGAAG